GCAGUCGAACGGUGAUAUUUAUAUCAUAGUGGCGCACGGGUGCGUAACACGUAUGCAACCUACCUAUUAUUGGGGGAUAGCCUUUGGAAACGGAGAUUAAUACCGCAUAAUACGAUUAACUGGCAUCGGUUGAUUGUUAAAGCAUUUGCGAUAAUAGAUGGGCAUGCGUCCAAUUAGUUAGUUGGUGUGGUAAUGGCUCACCAAGACGAUGAUUGGUAGGGGAUCUGAGAGGAUAAUCCCCCACACUGGCACUGAGAUACGGGCCAGACUCCUGCGGGAGGCAGCAGUAGGGAAUAUUGGGCAAUGGGCGGAAGCCUGACCCAGCCAUGCCGCGUGCAGGAAGACGGCGUUAUGCGUUGUAAACUGCUUUUUUAUAGGAAGAAGGAUCCCUUGCGAGGGAAGGUGACGGUACUAUAAGAAUAAGCACCGGCUAACCCCGUGCCAGCAGCCGCGGUAAUACGGAGGGUGCAAGCGUUGUCCGGAUUUAUUGGGUUUAAAGGGUGCGUAGGCGGUUUAUUAAGUCAGUGGUGAAAGACGGUCGCUCAACGAUUGCAGUGCCAUUGAUACUGGUAGACUUGAGUGAGAUUGAGGUAGCUGGAAUGGAUAGUGUAGCGGUGAAAUGCAUAGAUAUUAUCCAGAACACCGAUUGCGAAGGCAGGUUACUAAGUCUUAACUGACGCUGAGGCACGAAAGUGUGGGGAUCAAACAGGAUU
rnacentral:rRNA from 1 species